AUGUUAGUGUCACAAGCAGCACGUCAAUCUGCUUCUGCAUUUCCAGCGAAGGCGUGGACCUUGACUUGACGUUACUUCCAACAUAGUGACGGUGUGGUGCCAAAAAGUGAUCGUCUGACCAAAAGGGAUUUUAUUUGGAUCAAACUGUCAUAACGGGCACAUGACACAACUUUAAGUCUGUAGUAAUAUCAAAGAUAUGUCUUUAUGAAACUUGAACGUUUCUUGUAACCGAUAGUCAUCAGGAAAUAUGAUCCUAAUGUAUUUAAGGUUUGUAUGUCUACUAUUACAACACUGUAAUUGAUUGAAAUGUUUAUUUGGAAUAUGUAAAUAAUUAACAUUAUAUAUGACAAUGGGUAAUGAAUAAAAUAAAGACAUUAUAGCUUUUUUUAUCCUUAUGACUGCAUUAUUUCACCUGCUCUGUCACAACCCAUACAGUUUUUCACCUGUUGAAAUACCUUUCAAUGGGCCAUGACACAACCCAUAAAACACAGUGUAUCACCUGCACCACAACGGUGUGAUAGAUAAAACAAUAACACAGGAGCUUUGCCUCGUUGUUUCAGUUCACACGUCACAACGCUCACUGGCUUGUUAUUGAAUUUUAGCGCGAACCGCGUCAAUGGCCAUUCGCCCGCAGGGGGGAAGUAAACCAACACCGAGCUAGCUCUCUCAUUAGCUCCACCGCCACAGACACACAGCAGUUCACAGUCGGUUGUUAUAGUUUGCCGAAGGUACGUAGAAGCUGCCCGGACUCGGGGUCCGACAGAGUUGGUAAAUAAUAAAGAAGGAGCAGCCGCAGCAAGGCUAACGGUUUGUUAGCUAGGCUAGCGUUUAGCAUGCUAACGUUAGCCGACUGACUGCAAAAAAACACGGUACCGACCUUUGCGGGGAACGGACGCCGGAGCCGAAUGCGUCGGCGUGACUCUACAUCGCUUCCCCCCGCGAGAGAAGUUGUGUCACGCACGACUGUUCCCCCCGUGAAUUAACUGAGAAAAGUGUCGCUGCGGUGUUUUAUUCUCCUGUGUUCAUUUCGCUGGGGCAACUUUUUUUUUUCUCCCCCUCCAGGAUCAUGUUCCCUUGGUAACCACAUAGUGAACUAUCGCGAGAUCUCGCGCGCAGGGGUGAGAGUUCAUCCAACCUCCAGUUUUCCCUUCAAGAGAGAUAAAGCAGCUGGGCUGAGCAGCUGGCGCGUAUGGAGUUGGACAUACUUAUUGAUUACUGUAGGGAGGAGUGGUCUGAGCCUUUGUGGCUGCCUCCCCAGCAUAGAAAGCAAGCAACGUGAGGAAAGAUGUGACGGGGUCACUGAUUCCUUUACAAGCCUUUGUGUCUUCAAGCAAACCUGGGAAACACGAUGACGAGAUGAUGAUGACGACAGUUUUCGAGCUCCCUUUGACAGAGACAAGACAAACCACAGUCAUCAUUUGUCUAAAAUUUGUCUGAUAGUCUUUGCAGGUUCCCCUGUAAAAAAUAAUGAGUUUUGGCCAAAAGACAAUACUUAAUAGUAUAAAGAUUGAACAUAGACAGAAUGGUUUGAAAGUGAAUGUGAAUUUCAUAUUUGUCUUUGCAAAAGGGCUAUUUCACCUUUUUUUAAUGACAUUUUCAUACCAGUAAAUAGAGAGCAUGUGAUGUCAUUUUGUUGAUUGAUGUUUUUCAAAAG
rnacentral:lncRNA from 1 species